rnacentral:rRNA from 1 species
GAUGAACGCUAGCGGCAGGCCUAAUACAUGCAAGCCGAACGGCAAGUUUGAUAGCAAUAUUGGACCUAGAGUGGCGCAAGGGUGCGUAACACGUAUGCAACCUGCCCGCGACAGGAGGAUAGCUCCCCGAAAGGGGAAUUAACCCUCCAUAACACCAUGAGAAGGCAUCUGAUUAUGGUUAAACCGCAAGGGGUCGCGGAUGGGCAUGCGGUUGAUUAGCUAGUUGGCGGGGUAAAGGCCCACCAAGGCGGUGAUCAAUAGGGGUUCUGAGAGGAAGGUCCCCCGCACUGGCACUGGGAUACGGGCCAGACUCGUACGGGAGGCAGCAGUAGGGAAUAUUGGACAAUGGUUGCAAGACUGAUCCAGCCAUGCCGCGUGCAGGAAGAAGGCCUUCUGGGUCGUAAACUGCUUUUUCCUGUGGAUAAAAUACCCGUGCGCGGGGAAUUGAAGGUAACAGGAGAAUAAGCCACGGCUAACUACGUG